AGCGAACGCUGGCGGCAGGCUUAACACAUGCAAGUCGAGCGGGCAUCCUUGUGGUGUCAGCGGCAGACGGGUGAGUAACGCGUGGGAACGUGCCCUUCGGUUCGGAAUAACUCAGGGAAACUUGGGCUAAUACCGGAUACGUGCGAGAGCAGAAAGGUUUAUCUGCCGAAGGAUCGGCCCGCGUCUGAUUAGCUAGUUGGUGAGGUUACGGCUCACCAAGGCGACGAUCAGUAGCUGGUCUGAGAGGAUGAUCAGCCACACUGGGACUGAGACACGGCCCAGACUCCUACGGGAGGCAGCAGUGGGGAAUAUUGGACAAUGGGGGCAACCCUGAUCCAGCCAUGCCGCGUGAGUGAUGACGGCCUUAGGGUUGUAAAGCUCUUUUCUCCGGGACGAUAAUGACGGUACCGGAGGAAUAAGCCCCGGCUAACUUCGUG
rnacentral:rRNA from 1 species